CGAAGUACCUUCGUAGCCGUAAACGCCGGAAAUCCGGCCAUCGAAAUGCUUCGGAGAUUGACAACCGAGGUCGGCAGUGAAAGUGGAGUCAGUGGCGCAGUCGCCGGAGCCGAGGCAGAGGAUGAGCUGGUAAGGACGUAGCCGACGCUAGGCGGCACGUGGGAGGUACUCGAAUGAUUGGAGGACCACAGCCGAGGCGGAGUCGAUCCUGCCGUCGUGAGGGCGAAGCCG
rnacentral:lncRNA from 1 species